rnacentral:ncRNA from 1 species
CCUUUGGAGCGUUAAGCCAAACGAAAGUAGCCGGGCGAAUAAGCGCAAGCGAGCGAGCGGCAAAAUCGGACGCGAUGAAUUAGGAA